rnacentral:rRNA from 1 species
UAGGGAAUCUUCGGCAAUGGGGGAACCCUGACCGAGCAACGCCGCGUGAGUGAAGAAGGUUUUCGGAUCGUAAAGCUCUGUUGUUAAGGAAGAACGAGUGUGAGAAUGGAAAGUUCAUACUGUGACGGUACUUAACCAGAAAGGGACGGCUAACUACGUGCCAGCAGCCGCGGUAAUACGUAGGUCCCGAGCGUUGUCCGGAUUUAUUGGGCGUAAAGCGAGCGCAGGCGGUUAGAUAAGUCUGAAGUUAAAGGCAGUGGCUCAACCAUUGUAGGCUUUGGAAACUGUGUAACUUGAGUGCAGAAGGGGAGAGUGGAAUUCCAUGUGUAGCGGUGAAAUGCGUAGAUAUAUGGAGGAACACCGGUGGCGAAAGCGGCUCUCUGGUCUGUAACUGACGCUGAGGCUCGAAAGCGUGGGGAGCGAACAGG